GACGAACGCUGGCGGCGUGCCUAAUACAUGCAAGUAGAACGCUGAAGGAGGAGCUUGCUUCUCUGGAUGAGUUGCGAACGGGUGAGUAACGCGUAGGUAACCUGCCUGGUAGCGGGGGAUAACUAUUGGAAACGAUAGCUAAUACCGCAUAAUAGCAGUUAUUGCAUGAUAACUGUUUGAAAGGUGCAAUUGCACCACUACCAGAUGGGCCUGCGUUGUAUUAGCUAGUUGGUGGGGUAACGGCUCACCAAGGCGACGAUACAUAGCCGACCUGAGAGGGUGAUCGGCCACACUGGGACUGAGACACGGCCCAGACUCCUACGGGAGGCAGCAGUAGGGAAUCUUCGGCAAUGGACGGAAGUCUGACCGAGCAACGCCGCGUGAGUGAAGAAGGUUUUCGGAUCGUAAAGCUCGGUUGUAAGAGAAGAACGAGUGUGAGAGUGGAAAGUUCACACUGUGACGGUAUCUUACCAGAAAGGGACGGCUAACUACGUG
rnacentral:rRNA from 1 species